GCCCAGAACAAUCUCUUCAGCACAUCAGGCAAUGAGUGGGUCCUGCUGAACCUCAAUGUGACGGGCUAUUACCAGGUGAACUAUGACGAAGAGAACUGGAGGAAGAUUCAGACUCAGCUGCAGACAGACCACUCGGCCAUCCCUGUCAUCAAUCGGGCACAGAUCAUUAAUGACGCCUUCAACCUGGCCAGUGCCCAUAAGGUCCCUGUCACUCUGGCGCUGAACAACACCCUCUUCCUGAUUGAAGAGAGAGAGUACAUGCCCUGGGAGGCCGCCCUGAGCAGCCUGAGCUACUUCAAGCUCAUGUUUGACCGCUCUGAGGUCUAUGGCCCCAUGAAGGUACGGAGGUGCACGGUAGGGUUCAAGAACCAGUUCGCCCCAGUGCCUGAAAGUGCACUAUUAGAAGUUAAUAGACUAUUGCCUAUUGGACUCCUGGUCAGGGAACCUUCAAAAGCAAAACAAAAAACC
rnacentral:sRNA from 1 species